rnacentral:rRNA from 1 species
GACAGAGGGUGCAAACGUUGUUCGGAAUUACUGGGCGUAAAGCGCACGUAGGCGGUUUGUUAAGUCGGAUGUGAAAUCCCUCGGCUCAACUGAGGAAGUGCACCCGAAACUGGCAGGCUUGAGUACUAAAGAGGGUCGCGGAAUUCCCGGUGUAGAGGUGAAAUUCGUAGAUAUCGGGAGGAACACCGGUGGCGAAGGCGGCGACCUGGGUGAGAUACUGACGCUGAGGUGCGAAAGCGUGGGGAGCAAACAGG